GUCUUCCCUGGGUGGUGUAGUUGGUUAUCACGCUAGUCUCACACACCAGAGGUCCUCGGUUCGAAUCCGGCCUCAGACA